UCCCGAACUCGGAAGUUAAGCUCUUCAGCGCCGAAGGUAGUGCCAGGGAAGCUUGGUGUGAGAAAAGGUCAAUGCACC
rnacentral:rRNA from 1 species